rnacentral:lncRNA from 1 species
CGAUAGAAAAAUACCGUUAUUUUGCGUCGAUCUACGAUUUGUCAAUUCUGAUGUCUGAAAUUUUAAUCCAUUCAUAAUGCAACCACUAUAAAUUGAAGCAAAACAACUUGGUCCGCGGGAAAUAGAAUUUAAAUCUGUGUCAGAUUAUUGAGCUUCGGACAUGUGUUUCUUAAACCAUUCGGCAAAUUGUUUGAAGUGUAAAUUUUUUAG